AUUAAUUAAACGAGACAUGUGAAUUGAAAGUAUUACCAUUGCUUUCUCCAUGAACUAUGGGAAGUAUUAACUCAACUUUUAAUUCAGCUAGAAAUCCUACAGAUGAGCCAUCUGCUUCACAAGCUACGAGAGUGAAGAGAGCUAUGAC